CUCUGGAAAGCUCCAGGGGAAAUUUGAGGCAUAACCCAGCUUCUCUGAGACGGAACUCAGGGAGGAUCCAGCUCAAUCCUACAGAGGCGACCCCAAGGAAGGACCUGCCCAGGGUCACUUGGAGAGCUGGGCGGGAGGAGGGAGAAACCUCCCAGGUCCAGAGUGACAAAGCCCCCCUUGCCCCAGGGAUGGCUGAGAUCCAAAACCUCAAAAACACGCCGCCGUCUGGAGGGUGUGAGAGCCAGGUCCGUCCUCAGCAUGGACGCUGCAGUGCACACUGUUCCGUGCCAGGUGCUGGCUGACCCUGCCCUGGGGGAGCUGAUGGACAGGCACAGAGGGGGAGCCCCGCAAACAAGGGGCCCUGUUACAGCAGAGUGGGAGAGCGCCUGAUAGGUCGCCAAGCACCGUGGCCGGGCUGCAGAGAGGCCUGCGGGGCUUGUAGACAAGACGUCAUGGAGAAGGCGGAGCUCCCAUGGGCCUUGCAGGUUUCACUAAGCAAGGGCGGAGAAGACACAGGCUGGACAAAGGAAGGUGGACGGGACAGCCAGCCGUGCAGCAGCCUCACGGGACACAGCUACCAGACAGAGAGCACCAGCUGACACUCAUUCCUCCAGCACCAGGAAAUGCCACAGCAGAAGAGGGUCUUCAAGAUGGGCCAGCCCCACUUCUGCAGCAUGGUUGCUGGGAGCCUGCACAGGCCAGGUGUUUCUCUACAGGUCCAAUUGCUCUUCAGAACUCAAAAUCCCAUCUCUGCAGGUCUCAGCCAAUCCUGCUCCUGCCUGUUUUUAUUUCCUGCCCAGAGCAAGUACAGAACCGGGGGCCAUCGAUGGGCGAGAAAUCACUGUGCCUCCAAGCCGUAUUUUUCACCGUAACAAGUCAUUACUUCUGUGCCCGGAGUCAUUUCUCAGGAUCUUAAUGCAUUCGUUUAUCAAUCAAUACUUAAUUGAUGUCUAUAAAGCAUGUUCAAAAUCAGAGGUGAGAGCAGCUCACCAGGUACCGACUUCGUGUCUGGAGCCACCUUGUUAAGGAGCAACCCUUGGCACGGGUGCCGUGUCUGCACCCUCGGGAGCUCUGGGUGGGUGCACUGGGGUCCUCACAGCCCUUCCCGCCACUGC
rnacentral:lncRNA from 1 species